GACCUGAAGAGUGGGGGUCCCUCAUGGAGCUGAACUCCAAUCCUAAAACUCUUGGGCAAAAGAAAGAAGAGGUGAAAAAAAGGGAAAGAAAGCAAGCAGAUAAUUUCCUCGAAGGAUAAACAUCCGAUUUUUUUCCCCUCACCCCAAAAUAAACAUGCUAGCCACAAGGAAUUAAAAGCAGAAGAGGGAGGAUGUCUCAAUUUGGGGUUGUUCCAGCAAGCCAACCUUCUAUUUAUCCUAGUCCUGGGCACCAAUUGGAGCUGCCAAUUACACUCUGCACCUGGCAUGGGGGAAGACUAACUCAAGAAAUCUUUCUAGGAUGGAAGAACACCCAAAGAAGGCUUCACAGCCAGAAGACCAGACAGGCAGUGACCAAUAUGCCAUGGUUUGUGGAGACCAGUUGUCACUGAGAUCCAGAUGGAAGAGUGCCAACGUGAGGCUGGCAACCUGGAAGUCCCGGCACAGACUCACCUUAGAGUCAUAGGCCACUGGUGGUCCCCGGAUAUAGCCACAGCUGCUUUUAUGAGGAUGAGAUGAUGUUUACCAUGUUUCUUUCUCAACUUACCUCCCUGCCCCCUACCGGCUCUGGGGGUCCUGGAACUUGCUUUGUAGACCAGAAGUCUGCCUGCUUCUGCCUCCUGAGUGCUGGGAUUAAAGUUGUGCGUCACCACCUCUCAGCUUGCUGUUUUCUUACUUCAAAACAACAACAACAAACACAACCAACUUUGCAUCUCUGGUUUCCACAACCAAUGGCUCCCUCUUCCUUCACUCAAGAGUUCGGAUCUUCUUCUGCAGGGCCCAAUCUCUCCUCCACUCCUCCAUGA
rnacentral:lncRNA from 1 species